rnacentral:rRNA from 1 species
GAGUUUGAUCCUGGCUCAGGACGAACGCUGGCGGCGUGCUUAACACAUGCAAGUCGAGCGAUGAAGUUUCUUCGGAAAUGGAUUAGCGGCGAACGGGUGAGGAACACGUGAAGAAUCUGCCCUCCACUUUGGGAUAACACCGGGAAACCGGUGCUAAUACCGAAUAUUGAAACAUAAGUGGCAUCACUGAGUUUUUAAAGAAUUUCGGUGGAGGAUGACUUCGCGGCCUAUCAGCUAGUUGGUGAGGUAAUGGCUCACCAAGGCAACGACGGGUAGCCGGCCUGAGAGGGCGACCGGCCACACUGGGACUGAGACACGGCCCAGACUCCUACGGGAGGCAGCAGUGGGGAAUCUUGCGCAAUGGGCGAAAGCCUGACGCAGCAACGCCGCGUGCGGGAAGAAGGCUUUCGGGCUGUAAACCGCUUUCAGCAGGAAUGAAAAUGACGGUACCUGCAGAAGAAGGAGCGGCCAACUAUGUGCCAGCAGCCGCGGUGAUACAUAGGCUUCAAGCGUUGUCCGGAUUUAUUGGGCGUAAAGAGUUCGUAGGCGGUCAAGUAAGUCGGGUGUGAAAAUUCUGGGCUUAACCCAGAGACGCCACCCGAUACUGCUUAACUUGAGUUCGAUAGGGGAGUGGGGAAUUCCUAGUGUAGCGGUGAAAUGCGCAGAUAUUAGGAGGAACACCGGUGGCGAAGGCGCCACUCUGGAUCGAUACUGACGCUGAGGAACGAAAGCAUGGGUAGCAAACAGGAUUAGAUACCUUGGUAGUCCAUGCCGUAAACGGUGGGCACUAGGUGCGGGAUUCUAUUAACGAAUUCCGCGCCGUCGCUAACGCAUUAAGUGCCCCGCCUGGGGAGUACGGUCGCAAGACUAAAACUCAAAGGAAUUGACGGGGACCCGCACAAGCGGUGGAGUAUGUGGCUUAAUUCGAUGCAACGCGAAGAACCUUACCUGGCCUUGACAUGCAUCUCUAAUCCGGUGAAAGCCGGUGAGUGUAGCAAUACACAAUUUGCACAGGUGCUGCAUGGCUGUCGUCAGCUCGUGUCGUGAGAUGUUGGGUUAAGUCCCGCAACGAGCGCAACCCAA